UCGCGUCAUGCGCCGUAGGCAGGAGCGGGGGACCCAAGGUAAGCGCCGGGUCCGGCGGUUGAGGCCCUUCGGGGCCGCACGGCCGGAACCGGCUUGGGGUGGAGUCGCGCAUCAGCGUCAGCGGUGCGCGACCGGGCAACUCAACCGGCCCGAACCCGACAGCUCACCUCGCAGGCGUCGGUGAGGGGAUCC
rnacentral:sRNA from 2 species